UACGUAGGGGCCAAGCGUUAUCCGGAUUUACUGGGCAUAAAGCGCAUGCAGGUGGUAAUGUAAGUCAGAUGUAAAAGCCUCCGGCUCAACCGGAGUUCGCAUUUGAUACUGCGUUACUAGAGAUCGGUAGAGGGAAAUGGAACUCAUAGUGUAGCGGUGAAAUGCGUAGAUAUUAUGAGGAACACCAGUUGCGAAGGCGAUUUCCUGGACCGAAUCUGACACUAAGAUGCGAAAGCGUGGGGAGCAAACGGGAUUAGAUACCCCGGUAGUCCACGCUGUAAACGUUGUUCACUAGGUGUUAGAGGUAUCGACCCCUUUAGUGCCACAGAUAAUUCGUUAAGUGAACCGCCUGGGAAGUACGACCGCAAGGUUAAA
rnacentral:rRNA from 1 species